GAAAAGUAGUGCACUAUAUAGGGAAUAGGGAGCCUUUUGGGGUGCAGCCCCUCUGGUCUGGUAAAAGGUCAAACUGCCUUUUGGGAUGCAGCCCCUCUGGUCUGGUAAAAGGUCAAACUGCCUUUUGGGGUGCAGCCCCUCUGGUCUGGUAAAAGGUCAAACUGCCUUUUGGGGUGCAGCCCCUCUGGUCUGGUAAAAGGUCAAACUGCCUUUUGGGGUGCAGCCCCUCUGGUCUGGUAAAAGGUCAAACUGCCUUUUGGGGUGCAGCCCCUCUGGUCUGGUAAAAGGUCAAACUGCCUUUUGGGGUGCAGCCCCUCUGGUCUGGUAAAAGGUCAAACUGCCUUUUGGGGUGCAGCCCCUCUGGUCUGGUAAAAGGUCAAACUGCCUUUUGGGGUGCAGCCCCUCUGGUCUGGUAAAAGGUCAAACUGCCUUUUGGGGUGCAGCCCCUCUGGUCUGGUAAAAGGUCAAACUGCCUUUUGGGAUGCAGCCCCUCUGGUCUGGUAAAAGGUCAAACUGCCUUUUGGGGUGCAGCCCCUCUGGUCUGGUAAAAGGUCAAACUGCCUUUUGGGGUGCAGCCCCUCUGGUCUGGUAAAAGGUCAAACUGCCUUUUGGGAUGCAGCCCCUCUGGUCUGGUAAAAGGUCAAACUGCCUUUUGGGGUGCAGCCCCUCUGGUCUGGUAAAAGGUCAAACUGCCUUUUGGGAUGCAGCCCCUCUGGUCUGGUAAAAGGUCAAACUGCCUUUUGGGGUGCAGCCCCUCUGGUCUGGUAAAAGGUCAAACUGCCUUUUGGGAUGCAGCCCCUCUGGUCUGGUAAAAGGUCAAACUGCCUUUUGGGGUGCAGCCCCUCUGGUCUGGUAAAAGGUCAAACUGCCUUUUGGGGUGCAGCCCCUCUGGUCUGGUAAAAGGUCAAACUGGUACCAGUACAGGGGGUCAUCUGAAGCUGGAGGUCUGUUGAACAUGUGGUGGUCUUUAAGCAGACUGCAGGAUUUAUUUCAACUGUUUACAGCAGAGCCUUUACAGGCCCUC